CGGGCUACACAUGCAGUCGGACGGUAGCACAGGGAGAGCUUGCUCUCCGGGUGACGAGUGGCGGACGGGUGAGUAAUGUCUGGGAAACUGCCCGAUGGAGGGGGAUAACUACUGGAAACGGUAGCUAAUACCGCAUAACGUCUUCGGACCAAAGUGGGGGACCUUCGGGCCUCACGCCAUCGGAUGUGCCCAGAUGGGAUUAGCUAGUAGGUGGGGUAACGGCUCACCUAGGCGACGAUCCCUAGCUGGUCUGAGAGGAUGACCAGCCACACUGGAACUGAGACACGGUCCAGACUCCUACGGGAGGCAGCAGUGGGGAAUAUUGCACAAUGGGCGCAAGCCUGAUGCAGCCAUGCCGCGUGUAUGAAGAAGGCCUUCGGGUUGUAAAGUACUUUCAGCGGGGAGGAAGGCGGUGAGGUUAAUAACCUCGCCGAUUGACGUUACCCGCAGAAGAAGCACCGGCUAACUCCGUGCCAGCAGCCGCGGUAAUACGGAGGGUGCAAGCGUUAAUCGGAAUUACUGGGCGUAAAGCGCACGCAGGCGGUCUGUUAAGUCAGAUGUGAAAUCCCCGGGCUUAACCUGGGAACUGCAUUUGAAACUGGCAGGCUUGAGUCUCGUAGAGGGGGGUAGAAUUCCAGGUGUAGCGGUGAAAUGCGUAGAGAUCUGGAGGAAUACCGGUGGCGAAGGCGGCCCCCUGGACGAAGACUGACGCUCAGGUGCGAAAGCGUGGGGAGCAAACAGGAUUAGAUAC
rnacentral:rRNA from 1 species